CCUACGGGUGGCUGCAGUGGGGAAUAUUGGGCAAUGGGCGCAAGCCUGACCCAGCAAUGCCGCGUGAAGGAAGAAGGCUUUCGGGUUGUAAACUUCUUUGACAGGGGAAGAGCAGAAGACGGUACCCUGAAAACAAGCCACGGCUAACUACGUGCCAGCAGCCGCGGUAAUACGUAGGUGGCAAGCGUUAUCCGGAUUUACUGGGUGUAAAGGGCGUGUAGGCGGGGAAGCAAGUCAGAUGUGAAAACCACGGGCUCAACCUGUGGCCUGCAUUUGAAACUGUUUUUCUUGAGUGCUGGAGAGGCAAUCGGAAUUCCGUGUGUAGCGGUGAAAUGCGUAGAUAUACGGAGGAACACCAGUGGCGAAGGCGGAUUGCUGGACAGUAACUGACGCUGAGGCGCGAAAGCGUGGGGAGCAAACAGGAUUAGAUACCCGGGUAGUC
rnacentral:rRNA from 1 species